rnacentral:lncRNA from 1 species
GCGUGGUGUCUUCUCUGUUCAUCCCCUCUUCGUUUUUUUCCGUUCUUCUCUGGUCUUCUCCUCUCCGGUGGUGCAAGGCGGUGUGGCAGAAAUUGAUUUGGAGUUUGAGUCCAAGAGUUGAGAGAAGAAGAAUCAUGGAGAGGACGACCAAGUCUCUGAAACUUGCCUCCGUACGCCUCCUCUCAACUCAUCGCUACCACAACCACCACCGAGGCGCUCAUCCUCACCACUACCUUCCAUUCCAACACACAUUUUACCACCACUAAGGUCACCUCUCUCUUCUCUCUCUGUAUUUAGUCUGAUGAGUGAAGUACGAGAUCUGAUCCGUCAAAUGUCAGAAGCUUCUCAAAUGUCACUCUCUAUGUUUUGAUUUUGAUUUUUUGUUGUUCUUAUGUAUUCGAUUCUCUCUGUGUAUUUGUUUUUAUGUUCUUAGUUAAAGAAGGUGGAGGAGGCUGAAGAAGCUUGGUGGCUCGAGGUCGACAAUGGUGGCUGAGCGUGAUGGUUCGAUGACUUGGUGACAUCGUGCUGUUGACGAUGGCGGAGAGAGAGUGACGACGGUGGCGAAGACAGCAGAUGGUGGCGAGGGUGGAGGAGGACAGCAGAUGGUGGCAAGUUUGAAUGGUGGACGGUGGCUGAAGCAUCUAUUAGGUUUAGAUUUAGGUUUAGUUAAUCAAUUUGUUUAGUUAGGUUUACAUUCAUUAAUUGGUUUAGUUAAGAUUAGAGUAAUAUAUUUUUGUAUUAUUGGUUUACUUUUGUAAACCAAAAUUUAUUGUAAACUA